GGCAGGCCUAACACAUGCAAGUCGAACGGUAACAGGAAGAAGCUUGCUUCUUUGCUGACGAGUGGCGGACGGGUGAGUAAUGUCUGGGAAACUGCCUGAUGGAGGGGGAUAACUACUGGAAACGGUAGCUAAUACCGCAUAACGUCGCAAGACCAAAGAGGGGGACCUUCGGGCCUCUUGCCAUCGGAUGUGCCCAGAUGGGAUUAGCUAGUAGGUGGGGUAACGGCUCACCUAGGCGACGAUCCCUAGCUGGUCUGAGAGGAUGACCAGCCACACUGGAACUGAGACACGGUCCAGACUCCUACGGGAGGCAGCAGUGGGGAAUAUUGCACAAUGGGCGCAAGCCUGAUGCAGCCAUGCCGCGUGUAUGAAGAAGGCCUUCGGGUUGUAAAGUACUUUCAGCGGGGAGGAA
rnacentral:rRNA from 1 species